rnacentral:rRNA from 1 species
GAUGAACGCUAGCGGCAGGCUUAACACAUGCAAGUCGAGGGGCAGCAUAAACAUUGCUUGCAAUGUUUGAUGGCGACCGGCGCACGGGUGCGUAACGCGUAUGUAACCUACCUCAAACAGGGGCAUAACACUGAGAAAUUGGUACUAAUUCCCCAUAAUACUUUAAGAGGCAUCUUUUGAAGUUGAAAGUUCCGGCGGUUUGAGAUGGACAUGCGUUGUAUUAGCUAGUUGGUGAGGUAACGGCUCACCAAGGCGACGAUACAUAGGGGGACUGAGAGGUUAACCCCCCACAUUGGUACUGAGACACGGACCAAACUCCUACGGGAGGCAGCAGUGAGGAAUAUGGUCAAUGGACGCAAGUCUG